rfam:Amantichitinum ursilacus strain IGB-41 contig08, whole genome shotgun sequence.
GGCCGGGUAGUGCGCAGUCAUACAAGACCCGAAAGGGGAAAGCUGCGGGCCGUCUAGUUGCGGUGUUCAAGUACCUGGCCGCCUCUCU